CGUGUAGGCUGCACGGUAAGUGAGAUGUGAAAUCCCUCGGCUCACCCGAGGAAGUGCAUCUCAAACUGCCGCGCUUGAGUACGGGAGAGGUUGUGGGAAUUCCUGGUGUAGCGGUGAAAUGCGUAGAUAUCAGGAGGAACACCGGUGGCGAAGGCGCACAACUGGCCCGAUACUGACGCUGAGGCGCGAAAGCUAGGGUAGCAAACAGGAUUAGAUACCCUGGUAGUCC
rnacentral:rRNA from 1 species